GACGAACGCUGGCGGCGUGCUUAACACAUGCAAGUCGAACGAAGUGGCGAACGGGUGAGUAACGCGUAAUCAACCUGCCCUUCAGAGGGGGACAACAGUUGGAAACGACUGCUAAUACCGCAUACUGAAGGAGGGGAUUGCGUUGGGUUAGCUAGUUGGAGGGGUAACGGCCCACCAAGGCGAGGAUCAGUAGCCGGUCUGGGGGGAUGAACAGCCAAAUUGGGACGGAGAAACGGCUCAGGAUACUACGGGAGGCAGCAGUGGGGAAUCUUCCGCCAUGGACGAAAGUCUGACGGAGCAAAGCCGCGUGGGUGAUGACGGCCUUCGGGUUGUAAAGAUCUGUUAAUCGGGACGCGGUACCGGAAUAGACAGCCACGGCUAACUACGUGCCAGCAGCCGCGGUAAUAC
rnacentral:rRNA from 1 species